rnacentral:rRNA from 1 species
UACAGAGACUGCAAGCGUUAUUCGGAUUCACUGGGCGUAAAGGGUGCGCAGGUGGCCAAGUGUGUCAGGUGUGAAAUCCCGGGGCUUAACCCCGGAACUGCGCCUGAAACUGCUUGGCUAGAGCAUUGGAGAGGGUAGUGGAAUUCACGGUGUAGCAGUGAAAUGCGUAGAUAUCGUGAGGAACACCAGAGGCGAAGGCGACUACCUGGACAAUUGCUGACACUCAGGCACGAAAGCGUGGGGAGCCAAAGGG